GAACCGUCCAAACGUUAUUCGGAAUUACUGGGCUUAAAGGGUGCGUAGGCGGUGUCGUAAGUUGGGGUGUGAAAUCCCUCGGGCUCAACCUAGGAACUGCGCCCAAUACUGCGGCACUCGAGGGAGACAGAGGUAAGCGGAACUGAUGGUGGAGCGGUGAAAUGCGUUGAUAUCAUCAGGAACACCAGUGGCGAAAGCGGCUUACUGGGUCUCUUCUGACGCUGAGGCACGAAAGCCAGGGGAGCGAACGGGAUUAGAUACCCCGGUAGUCCUGGCUGUAAACGAUGAGCACUUGGUCGGGGGCCCCCCCAUAGGCUUCCGGCCGUAGCGAAAGUGUUAAGUGCUCCGCCUGGGGAGUAUGGUCGCAAAGGCUG
rnacentral:rRNA from 1 species